rnacentral:rRNA from 1 species
UUCGGUACAUCGGUGACAGGUGGUGCAUGGUUGUCGUCAGCUUGUGUCGUGAGAUGUUGGGUUAAGUCCGCAACGAGCGCAACCCCUAUUGUUAGUUGCCAUCAUUCAGUUGGGCACUCUAGCGAGACUGCCGGUAAUAACCGGAGGAAGUGGGGAUGACGUCAAAUCAUCAUGCCCCUUAUGACCUGGGCUACACACGUGCUACAAUGGUUGGUACAACGAGUUGCGAGUCGGUGACGGCGAGCUAAUCUCUUAAAGCCAAUCUCAGUUCGGAUUGUAGGCUGCAACUCGCCUACAUGAAGUCGGAAUCGCUAGUAAUCGCGGAUCAGCACGCCGCGGUGAAUACGUUCCCGGGCCUU